rnacentral:rRNA from 1 species
UUUUUUAAAUGGAAACUUGUAUGAAAGGUUGAAUGAGAUAUUAGCUGUUUUAAAUUAAUUAAAUUAGAAUUUUAUUUUUUAGUUAAAAAGCUAAAAUAAUUAUAAAAGACGAGAAGACCCUAUAGAGUUUUAUAAUAAAUUUAAUUUAUAUUAUAUAAAAAGAAAAAUUUAAUUUAUUUUAUAUUAAUUAUUUUAUUGGGGUGAUAAUAAAAUUUAUUUAACUUUUAAUUUUUUUUUACAUAAAUUAAUGAUUAUUUGAUCCAGUAUUAUUGAUUAUAAAAUUAAAUUACCUUAGGGAUAACAGCGUAAUUAUUUUUUAGAGUUCUUAUCAACAAAAAUUUUUGC